rnacentral:rRNA from 1 species
AGAUUGAACGCUAGCGGGAUGCUUUACACAUGCAAGUCGAACGGCAGCGCGGACUUCGGUCUGGCGGCGAGUGGCGAACGGGUGAGUAAUAUAUCGGAACGUGCCCAGUAGCGGGGGAUAACUACGCGAAAGCGUGGCUAAUACCGCAUACGCCCUACGGGGGAAAGGGGGGGAUCGCAAGACCUCUCACUAUUGGAGCGGCCGAUAUCAGAUUAGCUAGUUGGUGAGGUAAAGGCUCACCAAGGCGACGAUCUGUAGCUGGUUUGAGAGGACGACCAGCCACACUGGGACUGAGACACGGCCCAGACUCCUACGGGAGGCAGCAGUGGGGAAUUUGGACAAUGGGGGAAACCCUGGAUACCGAGCCAUCCCGCGUGUGCGAUGAAGGCCUUGGUUGUUAAAGCGUAUUUUCGGUCGAAGGGUAAGGAAACGGCCGUACCCGUUAA